UCCUUUUUUGCAACAUGUUUAUUGAGAAGCAACUGCGUUCCUGCCUGCCCAGAGCUCGAAGUGUUAGGGGCACCAGUCUGAUGGAGAUCCGAACAGUGUAGGACCACAGCCCGGCAAAGGGGCACUCAGCGUGGGUUUGGGAUUAAGUGAGAACCACUUACCUUUGCAGCUAGCCUCGAGCCCUGCACCCAGGACCUGAAGCUCAGGGAGGGAGGGAGGCUGUCCAACCGGCAAGGGGCCUGGGCAGAACUUCCUGAGAAGGCUCAAGAAGCCUGGUUCACCACAAUGGUCUGUGGGUGGGUGCCUGCCUUUCCUCAACAUCCUUGGACUGCCAGGUGGCACAUGCCUGUAAACCCAGCACUCAGGAGGCUGAGACAGGAGGACUACCAUGGAGUUCCAGGCCAACCUGGGGUACAUGGUUCAAGGCCAGCCUGAACUACAUAGCAAGACUGUCAACUUCAAAGGAAAAAAAGCCCCCAGACCUCAGUCUAUUUUGUCCACCUGAGAAAUGGGGCUAGGUGCUCUACUAUCUGUGACAACAAGCUGCAGAGAACAAGCAAAAGCACAGCCCUGCCUGGGAGCAGGCAGAACAGCUGCAACUGCCCCACCCACCCUGCCUGCCCGGCCAGGAGUCUGGCAGAGUCCCAGUCCCCUCUGGCCUCAGUGUUUGAUAUGGACCCAGCUCUCAUGGUGAUGGUGAGGCUGAAUCUGUAGCUAAAAAUACCCAGGAGCCCAGCCAGCUGCUCAGUGCUUCCUUGGAGGCCUCGUGGCUGGCACAGGAGCCAGACACACCUGCCCUCCCCAGGCUGCUUCCAAGUGGCAAGGUGUCCCGGGACCCUCACCACCCUCUUGCUCACAAUGGGGUCCUGGAGACAGCGAGCUGGUUCCUGCCACAAGAUCUGCUGGGCCCCAGGAAGGUCGGGGAGAUACCAGGUAGCUUUUGUGGGGCGAGCUCAUGUGUGAUUACCCUGCCACAGGGAGGCCAACGGGGACUCUGAGCCUGGAGAGAAAUGGGCAAAGUCCAGCUACCACAAGCCAGGUGGGGGCUGAUGACGCCCACUUCCGGGGCGUUGGAAACCAUAAAUCAAUUAUUUAACACCCGGCUGGUGAGAGAUAAAAACCCCAGGCCCAGGAAGGAGCCUGGACACCCAAGGGCCCCGAGGGAGGAAAUGGCGACCAGGCCACUUAUCUGCCAAGGUACCUGGCACCUGGCCGCAGGUCUCUGCAAGCCCCAGCGGCCACCAGCACUGGAGGGCAGUGACUUUCCACAGCACAAAGCACUGCCCGCACCCAGCCGCUCGCCACCUGCGGUCACAGGUACUGGGGCUGACGCAGAAGUGGAAGCCAGGAGUUCGGGCAACAAGGCAGGAUCCUAUCUUUUCAACACUUUGGAACGGCUCACAAGGUUACACCCAGUUCUCUGCUCCAGUCCCGCGGGCAGGGGUUGCUGGGGGGUCACAGGCAGCUGGAGAACGCACAGGGUAGGUGACUCCACAACGUUUGGACGCCUCUCUCCUUGGUCCGAGCAGCGGCAGCCAUCUCCACCCCCAGGGUCCUAAAUAAAGGGCUGGGAGAAGCGGGAUGAGCCCUUUCUUUAGCAGAGGACAUUGGUCACUGAAGACCCAGCUGAGAGCCAACGACAGCACGCAGGCUACUUCCAACCCCGCAGCUCCGGGGCCGGGGUGCCAGCAGACGGCGGGCCCAGGGCCAGGGGAGCCCAAAAUAACCCAGACAGCUUCGGCCGGAAGGUGCCACGAGCCCGGGCUCCGGGUGAAGACACCUGGAGCUUGGGUGCUAGUGGUGGCCUCGCGUGGCUGAUCCCAAAUCAGGCCUCGGCCUCUAGCGAGACUCUAACAACAGGGAAGGAGGAGGAGCCGAGCAGCCGACUGACAGCCCCUCCCCUGCCCGAGGCCGGGCCACGUGCUGGGGGGUGGGGUGGGCGGGGAUCCGGAGACGGGGGGGGGGCCUCCCCGCGCUGCCACUCCCCGCACCCGGAGCUCACGAAGGCCCAGUGGUGCGGGCCGCUUGGAGGCUGGCCGGUAAUCGCGCUUAAUCCUCCCACCACCCUCUCGGCAAGCCUCGCCACGGCCACUCUCCGGCAGAGACACCCGCCCAAGGUCACCGGCGUCCACAUUCCAACCCACGGCAGCCUGGCCCAGGUGCCCCUCGGUUGAGCACGCAGGUGCCUGCAACAAAGCCUGCCCGGCUCCCCCAGGCCACAGCUCGGCGGUCAUGCUGGUUUGGGGGGGCAGGGCGGCAGCGAGAUCGGCGCCACCUGGACCCAAAUGGCUCGGUCAAAGUAAUCGCAAACUAGGGCUCACGUGGGGACAGGGCGUAGAGAUCAAGGGCCACGCCAUCUCCAGCUGCGGAGCUUCUUGGACACGAGGAGGGCGCGAAUUACGCGAGGUCGGCUUGUGUAAGAACAAGAGCCGCACUGAGCAGGAAGCCACUGCUAUGUGCCCAGCGCCUACCUCCCAGCCCAGAGGAGCUCAGAACACAACACGGGACCUUGUUAGAAAUCCAAGUUCUCAGGUUCCACCUGCUGAAUCGAGAACUCGGGGCCAGGGGCCCUUUGCAAGAGGUGGAUUCUGAUACCGGCUCGAGACAGACUAGCCACCCCAGCUCCAUUUUGUAGAUGGGGAAGCCGGGGCUCACGAGACCCAGCAGCUUAAGCAAGGUCACAGCUGGUCAGAGGCAGCUGAGGUUUCACAGGGAAACCAGGCCACAUGCGCUUGCUCAUUUAGGGAAGCAGGAGGAAACUGGGAAUCCCAGGACAGGGAGGACAGUCAAGGAAACCUCUUUGUCCAGGAAAGCUGGCCCAGAUCUCUGGUUCUCGUGUUCUUUGCCUCUCUAGCACCCGGACAUAAGAGGGUGGUUGCUCUACAGUCACCCUAAAAUCCCCCACGGGGGCUGGAAGGCAGGGCAGCAGCACCUGGGCUUCCAGGCAGUGGCCUGUGCCUUUCAGAAGGCACCCAGAGCCAGCCCCCCCCGCCAAAAAACCCCGAUACUUGUUAGCCUGGCCUCUAGUAAGCAGCUAAAUUCGGCAGAGAAUUGCCCGCCCCAAAUGCCUGACAACAGAAGCUGGCAGGCGGAGCUGAAGUGCCCCAGCAGGCCGCCCAUUUCACACUCAGCCGCCACAUCUGUGUGGGGGAGGGGCUGCAGAACCAGCCCGGCAGGUGGGGGACACCCGCCCUCCCCUGGGCUGCAGGCCAGAGCUCCUCAGUCUCCCUCACAGCCAGGCACAGGGCUGUCACCUACCUUUGACGGGAGGAUUGUCAAACUAGGCCUGCUCCUGCUGUCCAAGGGAAGGAAGGGUUGUCCACUCCGCGGGUAACCGGUUGUUGCCCCUUCUCCAGCCAAGAACCUGGGGAAAGAAUGUGGAAGGCCUGUCAGGGCAGCCCCCAGCUUGUGGGUCAGAGACUGUGACUGUCCAAAUGCAAACCUGUCGGUAUCCUAGACAGACUCGCCAACGCCACCCCCCUUGCACAGCUGCCAAGGCGGCCCUCAGGGUGGAAUGGAUUGGGGUGGGGGUGAGCCACGAAGAGUUCAGCCCAGGCGAGGAGUGGCGGGAGGCGACUCAUCUGCAUUUCCAAAGGCCCGCCCCGUCAGCAUCCCCUCCCCCAGUAAGGCCGAGAUCUGAGGCGCUACCGCAGGGUCGGGGCUGGCUCGGGGAUCCCGGAGUGGGGGUGGCUGGCGGGUGGGGAGGCCCACUCGGCUUUCCUAGGCCCCAACCCCCACCAGCAGCCCCAAGGGCUGGGAUGGAGGGGUGUGCCCUGGGCGGCCAAAUGGGGCAUCUGCGGCCACAGCGAGGCCCUCCAGGCCCCAAGUGGGAACAAAAGGGGACACCCGCCCCUGUGGCUCGGCCCUCCAGGGGGCGAUCGGAAGGCGGGGCCGGUGGGCAGCGGGGGUGGGGGUGGGGUGGCCUGGGGAGCCCUUGACGAUGGCUUCCGCCUGCCAGCGAGGUCCCCGAGUCCAGGACGCCACGGUGACCAGGGUCCCCGCCUCCUCGGCCGCAGGCGGCGCGCGCCGCUCCCGAGGCCCGCGGACCCCGGAGCGGCCGGGGCAACCCCUCCCCGGGUCCCCAACGACACCCAGGAGGAAGGUGGACGAGGCGGGCCGGCGCCGUAGGCGCCGCAGCCCUGCCCAGCUGGCCAGCCCGCCCGCCAGCCAGUCAUGGCCCCGGCCCCGGCCCCGGCCCAGCCCGCGGCUCUGAGCUGGAAACCUGAAAAUAAAACUCGUGUCGGGGAGGGAGGCGAGGGCGCGGGCGGCGAGGUGCUGCGUCAUGGUGCCAACAUGGACGCCGGCCUUUGUCCUGCCUCGCCCGGGAAGCACGCGCGCCCCCGAGCCCCGACCAGCCGGCUUCGGGGUGCAAGGUCCCCCACAGCCAGAAGGAGAGGGCGCCCCAAGCCAGGUGGGGAGGCUCCCUCGUCUUUUAGGCACCCCCCUCUCCAAAGUACUUCAGUAUCUCCUCCCCUCCAAGGCUCAGGUCUGGGGACAGCCAAGGAAUAGCUCCACGCCGCUCGAGGGUCGCUGGGGAGACCCUCUUCUCGCCUUUGGGGCACAAGAGGACAAAAAAGGGGGGGGAUUUGACGACCCCUCCUCAUUCUCCCUCCCCGGCCUUCCCCGGCUGCCAAACACAAAGGUCCAGAAACCAUUUCCCCUCAGCGCCCAAACAUUGCAGCCCUGGCCUGCUCGGUAAACGUUCCUCCAGGGGGUAAAAACUACUAUUUUAUUUUAUUUUUUUUUACUUACCCGCUCAGCCCGGUGCCAUGGAGUCUAGAAGAUGAAGCUGGGCGGUGGUUUUGGAGAUGUUAUAAAAUAUAUAUACAUAUAUUUUGGAUUGUUUAGUUGGGAAAAAUGGGGGUUAUGGUGUUGGCUUUUUGUUGUUGUUACCUUUUAGUAAGUUACACUCUUAUGGCAUUUUUCUGCUCCUUCCACGUCUGCAACCUUUCCAGAGUUGGGUUGGCAAAAAGGCGGCUUCGCUGAGGACUGUUUACUGCUCUGGAUAUAGCAAUGGUGUGACCGUCAUUAAGAGACAAAAGGCGAAAACACACAGUCAAAUCAAACAAAAGGCAAAAGGCGCACCAGCCAUCCCAACCACCAUAGAAAAUACGACCGAGUUAUCGUUGGUGUUUGGCUUGAACCAGCUAGGACUUGUUUUCCAGCUUUAAUCUAGUUUCCUGUGACGGUUUUCGUCUUUCUACACAAAGAGAAGGUCUUCCUUUUUCUAACCAUCCCCCCUCCACCACCACCAAGACGAGAAAAACAGAGCUGUUUUUCUUCAAAUAGAUCGAUUUUCAAAGAGUGUAAACGUUACUGGGAAGGCUGACUAGCAUUUAUUGCUAUAAACAUUUUCAAAAGCUUGAAGCUAAAACCUUAAGCUUUAUAUAAGCAAAAUCGUCUAAAAAGCAUUUUCACUGGCUCAUAUUAGACAAGAGACAAAGACAGACAUGCAGAUGAAGGUUCAGAAAAUUAAGGACAGCUCAGCCAACAUUAACAAGAAAACUGCACUGCAUAAGGACAGAAUGGAUUGGGUACUUACAAUGUAAAAGGUUUUUAGAAACUUAAGAGUAACGACUGCUCACACAUUUUUUUGUUGCUGCCAUUUCGCUAGUCCUAAAACUAUACAUUUAAAACAUUACCUUGUUAAAAAGAGAGGAGUUAUUAAGAUGGCCAGGUUUAAGUGUUUAAUAGAGGAAACUAUAUUUAAAAAUUUAUUGUUCAGUCAAGAGAAUACAGAUUAAGACAGCGCCAAGCUCCCCCCACCCACCCAAGAAAAAAAAGAGGAAAAAAAUUAAAUGUCAUUUACUUAGGUUUUUUGGAAUUCAAAACUGUUAACUGCUGACAUUAAUGGUGUGCUAUGACCUAGUUAUACAAGACAAAGAUGGAUUCCAAGUCAUAAGGAAAAAUCCAGAUCUUUUUAAAAGGUCUUCUUCAUUCUUCCAAUUUUGAGUCCUUUAGCCUGUUGACAAAUGUUAAACAACACAUGCAAGCGUCCUGAACUGGAUGGUGGAGUCAAAGGAAAAACAUUCCCCACUCGCAACAAAGGAAAAACCCACUUGGCCAUUUAAUUCCAUUGCAGAAAAAUGGCUCCCCUCAUCUGUUGGCCUCUCCUUGGUGUCUGAUGAAGGAUGUUUUGAGAUCAGCGUCUAAUAACUCAAACCCUAUAGAAGCCGAGCGCUGAUUGGCUGCCGCGCCCUGCCGCUCAGCUCCAGCCAAUUACCUACCCACGGCCAAAUUACAAACCCCGAAAAGAGCCCCAAUAUGAAAUACACCGCCACGAAGCCCCAGUCAGGCGGCUCCUUCGCCUUGGCCGCCCGAGAAGAGAGGCAGAGGGGGCUGUGAACGCGUCCUCGCCAAGCCCGGGAGCCUCGGAGUUGAACUCACAAGAUGGAAGCCGCGCGCUGAUUGGCCGCCGCCACUCCCGGACCUUUAAUAAAGAAAGGGGAAGGGAAAGAAAUGCAAAAAAGGGGGGGACUCUGUCGCUGGUGGCUGGAGGAAAGAGGUGGGGUGGUGGUGGAGAAGAGAAGCAUGUGUUCAGGACAAUUACAGGGCUGUUCCUCUUCAAAAAUAAAAACAGAAAGAAAGAAAAAGCUUCCAUCACCCAGUUCCAGGCGAGGGCUGCAACCUUCCCAGGCAUGCGAAUGCUAAUACGGUUC
rnacentral:lncRNA from 1 species